rnacentral:rRNA from 1 species
GGCCUACCAUGGNNGUAACGGGUAACGGGGUGUUAGGGCACGACACCGGAGAGGGAGCCUGAGAAACGGCUACCACAUCCAAGGAAGGCAGCAGGCGCGCAAAUUACCCAAUCCCGACACGGGGAGGUAGUGACAAUAAAUAACAAUACAGGGUUCUUUUGGAUCUUGUAAUUGGAAUGAGUACAAUUUAAAUCUCUUAACGAGGAACAAUUGGAGGGCAAGUCUGGUGCCAGCAGCCGCGGUAAUUCCAGCUCCAAUAGCGUAUAUUAAAGUUGUUGCAGUUAAAAAGCUCGUAGUUGAAUUUCGGGAUCAAUAUUUCGGUCAUGCCGUUGGUAUGCACUGUUAUCAUUGAUUUCUCACCUUCUAAAGAACCGUAAUGCCAUUAAUUUGGCGUUACGGGGAAUUAGGACUGUUACCUUGAAAAAAUUAGAGUGUUUAAAGCAGGCUCACGCUUGAAUACAUUAGCAUGGAAUAAUGAAAUAGGACAUCCGAUUCUAUUUUGUUGGUUUCUAGGAUCGAUGUAAUGAUUAAUAGGGAUAGUUGGGGGCAUUAGUAUUCAAUUGUCAGAGGUGAAAUUCUUGGAUUUAUUGAAGACUAACUACUGCGAAAGCAUUUGCCAAGGAUGUUUUCAUUAAUCAAGAACGAAAGUUAGGGGAUCGAAGACGAUCAGAUACCGUCGUAGUCUUAACCAUGAACUAUGCCGACUAGGGAUCGGGAUGAUGUUAAUUUUUUAAUGACUCAUUCGGCGCCUUACGGGAAACCAAAGUGUUUGGGUUC